UUCUGUGGGCGGGCCUGGGCGGGGGAGCCGCGAGGCUCGCUGGUCGCCAUGCCCAGUCUGUUAACCCUGUUCAGUGCCCGCUCACCCUU
rnacentral:antisense_RNA from 1 species